GGUGGAGUGAACAAGCAACUGUGUGGUGCCUGUUCUGGGGUUAAACCACGACUCUCUUCCACUCCAAAUGCUGACUUACAGAAUAAAAUCCUCCCCCAGACUCCAAGUCACCCUUCAGAGCAUAUGUUCCAGAGGAUUCAAGGACAUGGGCUAUUUAUCUGUAGAAGGAGCUAAAGCUUUAAUCAAAGGACCAGUUUUCGGAAGAUUUGCAGUAAGAGCAAGAACACUGGGCACACUCCCUUGGAUGGCUCCACACCUGUACAUACUCUACAAAGCACCAACCGUGGCUUGAAGCUUCUGCAGCAGAUAUUCUGGACAUCUAAUUCCAGGUAAAAGAAGUGGGCAUCCUUCCAACCCAGCACAGCAAUCUGCUAUGAUGGAGCUGCUGUGCAAAACAAUUCCAAGAAUUGUAAAAGUUAUUUCAUCUGCAAACAAUCAUUUUUAAGAUGGUUUUAAAGCAUGUGUUACACACAGUCAUCCAGCUUUCAACAUCACAAUACAGAGAGUGCAAAAUCAUUUCAAAAGAUGGAACAUUUUAAAAAAAAUCCAACUAAAAGCUAAUGGCCAAGAAUGUUAUUCUACCCAGGUCCUCUCCCAAUGUUCCCUGUUCCAAGCUCCUGCUCCAUUUCAGUCAUCAUGGCUUCAAAGCACAAAAGUAGUUCAAGAAAAAGGUAGCUGGAAUUUCUUACACAAAGGCCAAACAUUGUAAUUGCCUAGAUUUAUACAUGAACAGGACAAUAAAAUUAAAACAAACCCAAGAAAUCAACCUCUUUCCUGUAGACAAGGCAGAUGGAUUUUUUGUUAAAAUUCAGGAAAAAUUAUUAGCAGUUGAAAAUCAUAUCUUGCAAGAGAAAACAUCAGGAAACCCUUCAUGUCUUUCCCACUCCCUGUCUGUGGCAUGUCAGCCCCAGCUGGGUCCUACCCCUUCAUUCCUGUCAGUAAAAUUUCGCUGAGGACGAACCAGCUUUGGAUCCCUUUGCAACUAUGGUGGCACAAGAGCACAUGGUGACCAUUAGUGCUUGAUGACAACUCGAAAGCAGCCUAAUUUGACUCUGUCUUUCAUCCUCUUAAGGGGAAAUGAAAGUUGGCAUUGCCCAACAUGAAGUUAUAAAUGACAGUACAGAUGUAGAGCUGCAUGCCAGGUGCUUUUACUUCUGAAAAUAGUAACUGAACUUCAAUAUAAUUCCCCACUGUAUUUCACUCUGAGCUGCUCGUGGGAAUGGGAGUUACUGACCCAGUUUGCCAUUGCUGGGCACUGCGUUCAAGCCAUGAGAGGCUUGGACAGGACCUGGACAGGGCAGGUCAUUGCUCAGGACUGAGGCAAGAAAGGAUUUGGGGUUAGCAGCAGAAAACAGCAUCUUCCCACCCCUCUGUCUUUAGGGCCAGCAGCCCUGACAGCCCCCAAACCCUGAGGUGGCACAGGGGUAUAAGGUGCACGUUGGUAAAGAAGCAUAAAUGACUGGCAGAACAGACCUGCUCUGUGUUAGGUAACCUCUGCCUCCACUUGUCCAUGGAAAUGGCUUAGAUUUAACCAGUGCACCUGUGAAAUAUUUUUCCCAUGAAAUUCUCCUUUGUGGGUCAUUUAUUACUGGAAAGGCUGGCUACCUGCAUGCUCAGACCAGUGGAGAGCACUCUGUGGCACUGUGGGCACUGCAAGGAUUAUUAGAAACCUUUGAUAUGGUUGUUUAAUUCUGCAAAAAUCUAUUCCUGAUUACAACAGAGAAAACGUGUUGCAACCUAUGACAGCAGUGUGAUGAAAAGAAUUUUCUUCCACACAAAACAAGUAUUCUUCUGUGGUCUUUUCCUUUGUUUUAAAAUGAAGUUUGCUGUUUUGGAACCAAACUGAGAAAGUAUCUCCUUAUGUCACAGCAUUAUAUCAUUAAAAACAGGAUGGAUGCACACAAAGAAAAAAUAAAUGACUCUUGCUGGGCUAAAGCCUUAAUAGCAGUUCCCCCUGUUUCCAAAAUGCACUCAUGGCAGCCUGGUUGGAGCAGCUACCCUUAGAAAUUGCCUCAGUUUUGUGCAUGUCCAGGGUGCUGCAGCCAGGAAAUCUUGUUACACUGAGUGUCACAAACAUCAAAACUUCCUUGUGACUUCCCCCCCCUCAAAAACUGCUUUGCAAUCAGAGACAGUGGGGAAGAAUCCCAAAACCAGCGAGGUGUUUGCAUGACCAGAGCUCUUCACUCCAGCACAGAGGCACCAGCCAUUUACUGCUCCAGGAGCUUCUUCUCUGCAGUGAUUCACACUUGGGUGAUGUCACCAGCCAAUUCACCUAAAAAAACCCUCCAAGUAAGUUGGACAUGAAUGUUUUUUUGCAGCCUCUGAAUCACACCUCGCUGUGACAGCAGAUGGGGAAGCUGCUCCUGCCGUUGUGAAUGAAGGGACCAUAUGUGCUGUAAUUCCAACACUUGCCUGUGGCACACUGGGCUGGCAGAGCUGGACAAAGGCUGGGACUCAAAUCACCUCGAGCCAGCAACGACUGCUGGAUGUCACUGACUGAGGGGAUGUGUCUGGGUGAGGGCAACAACAGCACUGGGACCACAUUUCCUUCUAGACAAUGAGUGAAAUGCAUGAUUCAUUCCUAAAGAGAAAUAGCACCAAGCACUCCAAAAGCCCAACCCUGAACAGUUCCAAGAUCAGGACUGGAAGGAGCUGAGCAUCCCAUCUGAGAAACUCCGUGGCUUUAACACCUGAGCAUCAGAUUCACUGGUGUCAGAGAGGCUGCAUUCCCAGCUCCUUUCCAGGAGUGCACUCACAGGUUUGGGUGCUGGGAGCAGGAUUAUGCAUGUUGGCCUAACACAUAUUGGCUUGUUCUUUUUGCUAAUCCAAAACUGUUCACUUGAAAGAUCAGUCACAGUCAGAGAUUCAAAGGUAGGCAGCACAUUACUCCUUCCCUCAUUUGUUCAUGUUGUCAAAUAAGAAGAAUUCAUGACUUGUUUUGCAUCCAUUUCUGUUCAUCAGCUUUGGAAGAGAUUUCUUAGACAUGUAAUUUAUAUUUGUAAUUUGAGAAAUGCUAAUAUGAAUUACAGGCACAUUGUGUGGAAUCCAUGGACUCACAUGGCUCAGACUUCUCUUUUACUCCUUUGAUCAUCCUUUCUCUGCCCUUAUUUCUACUUUCUGAUUUAAUAAA